GAAGGAAGUAUUAUACGACAUCAUGUGUGCGCUUGACCGACAAUAUUUAAACAACGAUAGUUUUGGGUUCGUCGCCAUAAUUUUCCUAAACUUUGAUAGUGAACAUACUGUUUUUCUUUUACAUUAAUUCCAGUGCCUGGUUGGCUCUGUAUACUAAUUGCGUUCCGCAAAAUGUUGUCACUCAAAGCUUGAAAGUGAAAGUAAUUGAAUGUGGUGUAAACAAGAUGAAGAUAGUAAAACGAAUGAAGCGAGUAUUUGUAUGAAAUCACAAAAAAUUAAGAAAAUACCAUACAUUAUCGUGGUUUUGUGCAAUAAACUAAUUUUAGGGAAAGUGACUGAAUUAUUUCUAUAUGCUAUGACAAAAAUUUACUAAAGGAUGAAAGUGAAGUACUGAAUAUAAGUUAAUUGAAUUGAAAAACUAUGAAAGUUUGUACUUUGGCACUGGAUGGAAAGAAAAGAUCCAAAGAAAAUGGAAUGAAGUAAAUAAAAUCAAGUGCGAUUUGAACAAUGUGAUAAUUAUUAAGCUGC